UAGGGAAUCUUCCACAAUGGGCGAAAGCCUGAUGGAGCAACGCCGCGUGUGUGAUGAAGGGUUUCGGCUCGUAAAACACUGUUGUAAGAGAAGAAUGACAUUGAGAGUAACUGUUCAAUGUGUGACGGUAUCUUACCAGAAAGCCACGGCUAACUACGUGUCAG
rnacentral:rRNA from 1 species